rnacentral:rRNA from 1 species
UACAGAGGUCUCAAGCGUUGUUCGGAUUCAUUGGGCGUAAAGGGUGCGUAGGCGGCGCGGUAAGUCGGGUGUGAAAUCUCGGGGCUUAACUCCGAAACUGCAUUUGAUACUGCGGUGCUUGAGGACUGGAGAGGAGACUGGAAUUCACGGUGUAGCAGUGAAAUGCGUAGAUAUCGUGAGGAACACCGGUGGCGAAGGCGGUUCUCUGGGCAUUACCUGACGCUGAGGAGCGAAAGUGUGGGUAGCAAACAGG